AUUGAACGCUGGCGGCAGGCCUAACACAUGCAAGUCGAACGGUAACAGGAAGAAGCUUGCUUCUUUGCUGACGAGUGGCGGACGGGUGAGUAAUGUCUGGGAAACUGCCUGAUGGAGGGGGUUAACUACUGGAAACGGUAGCUAAUACCGCAUAAUGUCGCAAGACCAAAGAGGGGGACCUUCGGGCCUCUUGCCAUCGGAUGUGCCCAGAUGGGAUUAGCUAGUAGGUGGGGUAACGGCUCACCUAGGCGACGAUCCCUAGCUGGUCUGAGAGGAUGACCAGCCACACUGGAACUGAGACACGGUCCAGACUCCUACGGGAGGCAGCAGUGGGGAAUAUUGCACAAUGGGCGCAAGCCUGAUGCAGCUAUGCCGCGUGUAUGAAGAAGGCCUUCGGGUUGUAAAGUACUUUCAGCGGGGAGGAAGGGAGUAAAGUUAAUACCUUUGCUCAUUGACGUUACCCGCAGAAGAAGCACCGGCUAACUCCGUG
rnacentral:rRNA from 1 species